rnacentral:rRNA from 1 species
ACGCUCGACACCUACGGGAGGCAGCAGUGGGGAAUAUUGCACAAUGGGGGGAACCCUGAUGCAGCGACGCCGCGUGAGGGAAGAAGGUUUUCGGAUUGUAAACCUCUGUCCUUGGUGACGAUAAUGACGGUAGCCAAGGAGGAAGCCACGGCUAACUACGUGCCAACAGCCGGCGGAAUCUGAGCGGGCUGGCAAGGC